GACGAACGCUGGCGGCGUGCGUUAACACAUGCAAGUCGAACGAUGAAGCCGCAGCUUGCUGUGGUGGAUUAGUGGCGAACGGGCGAGUAACACGUGAGUAACCUGUCCUUUUCUUUGGGAUAACGGCUGGAAACGGCUGCUAAUACUGGAUAUUCAGGUCUCAACGCAUGUUGGGGUUUGGAAAGGUUUUUUCUGGAAUUGGGUGGGCUCGCGGCCUAUCAGCUUGUUGGUGGGGUGAUGGCUUACCAAGGCUUUGACGGGUAGCCGGCCUGAGAGGGUGGUCGGUCGCACUGGGACUGAGAUACGGCCCAG
rnacentral:rRNA from 1 species